AUUGAACGCUGGCGGCAUGCUUUACACAUGCAAGACGAACGGUAACAGGCCGCAAGGUGCUGACGAGUGGCGAACGGGUGAGUAAUGCAUCGGAACGUGCCCAGUCGUGGGGGAUAACGCAGCGAAAGCUGCGCUAAUACCGCAUACGAUCUAUGGAUGAAAGCGGGGGACCGUAAGGCCUCGCGCGAUUGGAGCGGCCGAUGUCAGAUUAGGUAGUUGGUGGGGUAAAGGCUCACCAAGCCAACGAUCUGUAGCUGGUCUGAGAGGACGACCAGCCACACUGGGACUGAGACACGGCCCAGACUCCUACGGGAGGCAGCAGUGGGGAAUUUUGGACAAUGGGCGCAAGCCUGAUCCAGCAAUGCCGCGUGCAGGAAGAAGGCCUUCGGGUUGUAAACUGCUUUUGUACGGAACGAAACGGUCCGGGUUAAUGCCCUGGGCUAAUGACGGUACCGUAAGAAUAAGCACCGGCUAACUACGUGCCAGCCGCCGCAGUAAAAC
rnacentral:rRNA from 1 species